GACGAACGCUGGCGGCGUGCCUAAUACAUGCAAGUCGAGCGGGGUGAUGGUGCUUGCACUAUCACUUAGCGGCGGACGGGUGAGUAAUGCUUAGGAAUCUGCCUAUUAGUGGGGGACAACAUUUCGAAAGGAAUGCUAAUACCGCAUACGUCCUACGGGAGAAAGCAGGGGAUCUUCGGACCUUGCGCUAAUAGAUGAGCCUAAGUCGGAUUAGCUAGUUGGUGGGGUAAAGGCCUACCAAGGCGACGAUCUGUAGCGGGUCUGAGAGGAUGAUCCGCCACACUGGGACUGAGACACGGCCCAGACUCCUACGGGAGGCAGCAGUGGGGAAUAUUGGACAAUGGGCGGAAGCCUGAUCCAGCCAUGCCGCGUGUGUGAAGAAGGCCUUAUGGUUGUAAAGCACUUUAAGCGAGGAGGAGGCUACUUUAGUUAAUACCUAGAGAUAGUGGACGUUACUCGCAGAAUAAGCACCGGCUAACUCUGUGCCAGCAGCCGCAGUAAUAC
rnacentral:rRNA from 1 species